AAAGGACAAAGAUCCUCAGACUCUCAGCCUUCCCCCAUCCUGCACCCCGUCUGUUCACCUUCAGCUUCGUCCAUCCUAGGAAAUUGCCCCACUCUUUGUCCAUCCGUGUUCAGGCCAGAAACCUGGAAAUUACUUUUUUUUCUCUAGGCUAGAUAUAAUUUGCAUACAAAAAAGGUCAAAGUCUUAAGUGUUCAGCUCCAGGAAGUUUUACAUAUGUGCACACCUGUGUAACCACCACACAGAUCAAGAUACACAGCUGUGCUGUCCGAUAGAUACAGUGGCCUUUAUAUCCUCAUGUGGCCACUGAGUACUUGAAAUGUGGAAUCCGAAUUGAGAUGCGAGUGAGCAACUCUUGCAUCCUCUGAUUCUCACCGAAUCCCCUGGGAAGUAAGAAAGGAAGGCAUGAGCAUCCCAAUCAGCAGAUUACAUCAUGGGGAUUCAGCCAAGAGAAAUCCCUGGAAAGGAUUCUAACACAGGAUUCCAGAAUACAGGUUUCUGAUAAACUUUCAGAUUGUAAAACUGAACUGGGUAAGAAAUUACAGAAAUCUACAGAGAAACUGAUGACCUCAUAAAACUGCUAACAGAAGAUUAAGAUCAAGAAUCUAUUAUACAGGUCUGUAUGAACCGAUGAGGAUGGUCAUAAUUUUUAUGACUUUUUUUUUAAAGAUUUUAUUUGUUUUUUUCUCCCCAAAGCCCCC
rnacentral:lncRNA from 1 species